rnacentral:rRNA from 1 species
CCGCUAUUGGAGUUCGAUUAAGCCAUGCGAGUCGAGAGUCUUAGGGACUCGGCGUACCGCUCAGUAACACGUGGGUAACCUGCCCUAUGCUGGGGAAUAACCUCGGGAAACUGAGAAUAAUGCCCCAUAGUCCACAAUGCCUGGAACGGUUUGUGGAUCAAAGCUCCGGCGGCAUAGGAUGGGCCUGCGGCGUAUCAGGUUGUAGGGGGUGUAACGUACCCUCUAGCCAUCAACGCGUACGGGUGUUGGGAGACAUAGCCCGGAGAUGGAUUCUGAGACACGAAUCCAGACCCUACGGGGUGCAGCAGGCGCGAAAACUUGGCAAUGCGAGAAAUCGUGACCAGGGAACUCCAAGUGGCUGGGGUAAGACCCAGUCUUUUCUUGACUCUUCAAAGGUCUUGGAAUAAGGGGUGGGUAAGGACGGUGCCAGCCGCCGCGGUAAUACCGGCGCCUCAAGUGGUAGUCGAUUUUAUUGGGCCUAAAACGUCCGUAGCCUGUUUGGUACAUUCGUGGGUAAAUCAACCAGCUCAACUGGUUGAAUUCUGCGAGCACGGCCAGACUUGGGACCGGGAGAGGUGUGGGGUACGCUCAGGGUAGGGGUAAAAUCCUGUCAUCCUGAGCGGACCACCUGUUGCGAAGGCGCCACACUAGAACGGAUCCGACGGUCAGGGACGAAGCCUAGGGGCACGAACCGGAUUAGAUACCCGGGUAGUCCUAGGUGUAAACGCUGUGGACUUGGUGUUGGGGACUCUCCGAGAAUCCUCAGUGCCGAAGCGAAGGUGAUAAGUCCACUGCCUGGGGAGUACGGUCGCAAGGCUGAAACUUAAAGGAAUUGGCGGGGGAGCACCGCAACCUGAGGAUUGUGCGG